UGAGGAAUAUUGGUCAAUGGACGGAAGUCUGAACCAGCCAAGUAGCGUGCAGGAUGACGGCCCUAUGGGUUGUAAACUGCUUUUGUAUGGGGAUAAAGUUAGGGACGUGUCCCUAUUUGCAGGUACCAUACGAAUAAGGACCGGCUAAUUCCGUGCCAGCAGCCGCGGUAAUACGGAAGGUCCAGGCGUUAUCCGGAUUUAUUGGGUUUAAAGGGAGCGUAGGCUGGAGAUUAAGUGUGUUGUGAAAUGUAGACGCUCAACGUCUGAAUUGCAGCGCAUACUGGUUUCCUUGAGUACGCACAACGUUGGCGGAAUUCGUCGUGUAGCGGUGAAAUGCUUAGAUAUGACGAAGAACUCCGAUUGCGAAGGCAGCUGACGGGAGCGCAACUGACGCUUAAGCUCGAAGGUGCGGGUAUCAAACAGGAUUAGAUACCCUGGUAGUCCGCACAGUAAACGAUGGAUGCCCGCUGUUGGUACCUGGUAUCAGCGGCUAAGCGAAAGCAUUAAGCAUCCCACCUGGGGAGUACGCCGGCNCGGUG
rnacentral:rRNA from 1 species